rnacentral:rRNA from 1 species
CCUACGGGUGGCAGCAGUGAGGAAUAUUGGUCAAUGGACGAGAGUCUGAACCAGCCAAUUAGCGUGAAGGAUGACUGCCCUAUGGGUUGUAAACUUCUUUUAUAAAGGAAUAAAACGAGGCACGUGUGCCUUUUUGCAUUUACUUUAUGAAUAAGGAUCGGCUAACUCGGUGCCAGCAGCCGCGGUAGUACGGAGGAUCAGAGCUUAAUCCGGAUGUAUUGGGUUUAAAGGGAGCGUCGAUGGUUUGUUAAUUCGGUUGUGAAAGUUUGCGGCUCACACGGUAAAUUGCAAUUGAUACUGGCUGUCUUGAAUACAGUUGAGGUAGGCGGAAUUCGUGGUGUAGCGGUGAAAUGCUUAGAUAUCACGAAGAACCCCGAUUGCGAAGGCAGCUUACUAAACUGUGACUGACAUUGAUGCUCGAAAGUGUGGGUAUCAAACAGGAUUAGAUACCCGUGUAGUC